rnacentral:rRNA from 1 species
CCCUUAGAUGUUCUGGGCUGCACGCGCGCUACACUGUCGGAUUCAGCGAGUCAUAUCCUUAACCGAAAGGUUUGGGUAAUCUUUUGAAAGUCCGACGUGAUGGGGAUUGAUCAUUGCAAUUAUUGAUCAUGAACGAGGAAUUCCUAGUAAGCGCGAGUCAUCAGCUCGCGUUGAUUACGUCCCUGCCCUUUGUACACACCGCCCGUCGCACCUACCGAUUGAAUGGUCCGGUGAAAUCUCGGGAUUGUGGCCAGUUCACUUUAUUGGGAGUUGGCUGCGAGAACUUGCUUAAACCUUAUCAUUUAGAGGAAGGUGAAGUCGUAACA